GUUCAGGGAAAACUUUGUUAGUGAAGUACAAUCAAAAAAGAAUUUUAAUCACUUAAGAAAGUGAAGAGCAAUUUUUUUCCUGAGCACGUUGAAUGCUCUAAAAAGAAGUUUAAGAAAAGUAUUAAACAAGAAGAAUGAAAAUAAUAAUAUUCAAGAAAUUGUCGAGCUCUACGCAUUUUGUUAUGCUAAAGACGUUCGACUGCAAUGGACCACCCGUUUCUCCGUCGAGCGCACCUCCAACGACGCGGUAAAGGAAAAGGCUGCCAAUAUCGCUUAUUUCUUGCUUUCCAAAACUUCCUGGCGUGAUUCUUUUUUUUUCUUAACGAAGUUUACCGCUUUGCUCCUCAAUUGAUUCCCUUUCGUUUAACGGUAGACUCGAUUACCUAGCUCGAAGGUGGAGUUGUAAGAAUUGUGCACAAACUCGUUAUUGAAUCGAGCGUUUCAGCAAAAGCGAUUUAUUUCAUUAAAACAAUUGAGAAAUUUUAAUAUUUAGUUUCAUUGGUUCCUUUUUAACCAU